CCUACGGGGGGCAGCAGUGGGGAAUAUUGCGCAAUGGGCGAAAGCCUGACGCAGCGACGCCGCGUGAGGGAUGAAGGUCUUCGGAUCGUAAACCUCUGUCAGCAGGGAAGAACGGUCACUGUGCUAAUCAGCAGUGAAUUGACGGUACCUGCAAAGGAAGCACCGGCUAACUCCGUGCCAGCAGCCGCGGUAAUACGGAGGGUGCGAGCGUUAAUCGGAAUUACUGGGCGUAAAGCGCUCGUAGGCGGUAUGUCAAGUCAAGGGUGAAAGCCCCGCGCUCAACGUGUGAACUGCCUUUGAAACUGGCAAACUGGAGUGGGUGAGAGGAUAGUGGAAUUCCAGGUGUAGGAGUGAAAUCCGUAGAUAUCUGGAGGAACACCAGUGGCGAAGGCGACUAUCUGGCACAUAACUGACGCUGAGGAGCGAAAGCGUGGGUAGCAAACAGGAUUAGAUACCCGGGUAGUC
rnacentral:rRNA from 1 species